rnacentral:rRNA from 1 species
GACGAACGCUGGCGGCAUGCUUAACACAUGCAAGUCGAACGAAGUGGCGAACGGGUGAGUAACGCGUAUGAACCUGCCCUUAGGAGGGGGACAACAGUUGGAAACGACUGCUAUUCCCGCUUACUGAAGGAGGGGUUGGCGUCGGAUUGGCUAGGUGGAGGGGUAACGGCUCACCAGGGCGAUGAUCAGUAGCCGGUCUGAGAGGAGGAUCAGCCACACUGGAACUGAGACACGGUCCAGACUCCUACGGGAGGCAGCAGUGGGGAAUAUUGCACAAUGGGCGCAAGCCUGAUGCAGCCAUGCCGCGUGUGUGAAGAAGGCCUUCGGGUUGUAAAGCACUUUCAGCGGGGAGGCGUUACCCGCAGAAGAAGCACCGGCUAACUCCGGCCAGCCGCCGCGGUAAUUC